rnacentral:rRNA from 1 species
GAUGAACGCUGGCGGCGUGCCUAAUACAUGCAAGUCGAGCGAACAGACGAGGAGCUUGCUCCUCUGACGUUAGCGGCGGACGGGUGAGUAACACGUGGAUAACCUACCUAUAAGACUGGGAUAACUUCGGGAAACCGGAGCUAAUACCGGAUAAUAUAUUGAACCGCAUGGUUCAAUAGUGAAAGACGGUUUUGCUGUCACUUAUAGAUGGAUCCGCGCCGCAUUAGCUAGUUGGUAAGGUAACGGCUUACCAAGGCAACGAUGCGUAGCCGACCUGAGAGGGUGAACGGCCACACUGGAGGUGAGACGCGAUCCAGACUCCGACGGGAGGCAGCAGUAGCGAAGCUUCCGCAAUGGGCGAAAGCCUGACGGAGCAACGGCGCGUGAGUGAUGAAGGUCUGCGGAUCGUAAAACUCUGUUAUUAGGGAAGAACAAAUGUGUAAGUAACUAUGCACGUCUUGACGGUACCUAAACAGAAAGCCACGGCUAACUACGU